AUCAACUUUCGAUGGUAGGAUAGAGGCCUACCAUGGUGGUAACGGGUAACGGGGUGUUAGGGCACGACACCGGAGAGGGAGCCUGAGAAACGGCUACCACAUCCAAGGAUGGCAGCAGGCGCGCAAAUUACCCAAUCCCGACACGGGGAGGUAGUGACAAUAAAUAACAAUACGGGGCUCUUUCGGGUCUCGUAAUUGGAAUGAGUACAAUUUAAAUCCCUUAACGAGGAACAAUUGGAGGGCAAGUCUGGUGCCAGCAGCCGCGGUAAUUCCAGCUCCAAUAGCGUAUAUUAAAGUUGUUGCAGUUAAAAAGCUCGUAGUUGAAUUUCGGGAUUGACGUGAUGGUCAUGCCUUAAGGGGUAUGAACUGUCACUGUUGAUUUCUCACCUUCUGGAGAAACUUGAUGUCCUUUAUUGGGUGUCUUGCGGAUCCAGGACCUUUACCUUGAAAAAAUUAGAGUGUUUAAAGCAGGCAUUUUUGCUCGAAUACAUUAGCAUGGAAUAAUAGAAUAGGACGGCAUGGUUCUAUUUUGUUGGUUUCUAGGAUCACCGUAAUGAUUAAUAGGGAUAGUUGGGGGCAUUAGUAUUCAAUUGUCAGAGGUGAAAUUCUUGGAUUUAUUGAAGACUAACUACUGCGAAAGCAUUUGCCAAGGAUGUUUUCAUUAAUCAAGAACGAAAGUUAGGGGAUCGAAGACGAUCAGAUACCGUCGUAGUCUUAACCAUAAACUAUGCCGACUAGGAAUCAGACGAUGUUAAUUUUUUAAUGACUCGUUUGGCACCUUACGGGAAACCAAAGUGUUUGGGUUC
rnacentral:rRNA from 1 species